rnacentral:rRNA from 1 species
AGGGUUUGAUUAUGGCUCAGGACGAACGCUGGCGGCGUGCCUAACACAUGCAAGUCGAACGGAGAUAAACGCUGAUGAUUUAGCUUGCUAGAGAAUCUUGUUUAUCUUAGUGGCGGACGGGUGAGUAACGCGUGAGCAACCUGCCUUUCAGAGGGGGAUAACGUCUUGAAAAGGACGCUAAUACCGCAUGACAUUGCGAGAUCACAUGGUUUUGCAAUCAAAGGAGCAAUCCGCUGAAAGAUGGGCUCGCGUCCGAUUAGGUAGUUGGUGAGAUAACAGCCCACCAAGCCGACGAUCGGUAGCCGGACUGAGAGGUUGAACGGCCACAUUGGGACUGAGACACGGCCCAG